CCAGACUCCUACGGGAGGCAGCAGUGGGGAAUAUUGCACAAUGGGGGAAACCCUGAUGCAGCGACGCCGCGUGAGCGAGGAAGUAUUUCGGUAUGUAAAGCUCUGUCAGCAGGGAAGAAGAAUGACGGUACCUGAAGAAGAAGCACCGGCUAAAUACGUGCCAGCAGCCGCGGUAAUACGUAUGGUGCAAGCGUUAUCCGGAUUUACUGGGUGUAAAGGGAGCGCAGGCGGUUCUGCAAGUCUGAUGUGAAAGCCCGGGGCUCAACCGCGGGACUGCAUUGGAAACUGUUUUUCUUGAAUACCGGAGAGGUCAUCGGAAUUCCUUGUGUAGCGGUGAAAUGCGUAGAUAUAAGGAAGAACACCAGUGGCGAAGGCGGAUGACUGGACGGCAACUGACGGUGAGGCGCGAAAGCGUGGGGAGCAAACAGGAUUAGAUACCCGGGUACG
rnacentral:rRNA from 1 species